CAUGGAAACACCGGUUCACGUACGAUCACCAAAGUUAAGCAAUGUCGAGCCUGGUUUGUACUUAGAUUGGUGACCGCUUGUAAGCCUG